UGGGGGAUAUUGCACAAUGGGCGAAAGCCUGAUGCAGCGACGCCGCGUGGGGGAUGAAGGCCUUCGGGUUGUAAACUUCUUUUGCUCUGAACAAGGCAUGCCUUUGGGGUGUGUUGAGUGUAGGGGUUGAUUAGCGCCGGCUAACUACGUGCCAGCAGCCGCGGUAAUACGUAGGGCGCGAGCGUUGUCCGGAAUUAUUGGGCGUAAAGGGCUUGUAGGUGGCUGGUUGCGUCUGUCGUGAAAGCUCAUGGCUUAACUGUGGGUUUGCGGUGGGGACGGGCUGGCUUGAGUGCAGUAGGGGAGGCUGGAAUUCCUGGUGUAGCGGUGGAAUGCGCAGAUAUCAGGAGGAAUAGCGGUGGCGAAGGCGGGUCUCUGGGCUGUUACUGACGCUGAGGAGCGAAAGCGUGGGGAGCGAACAGG
rnacentral:rRNA from 1 species